CCAAUAGCGUAUACUAAAGUUGUUGCAGUUAAAAAGCUCGUAGUUGAACUUCGGGGUUUACUCAUUGGUCAGGCUUAAUUGUCUGUACUGGUGAGAUGAAUCUCUACCUUCUGAGGAACUUUCAUGCCAUUUCUUUGGUGUGGUUGGAAAUCAGGACUGUUACUUUGAAAAAAUUAGGGUGUUUAAAGCAGGCUAACGUCUGAAUACAUUAGCAUGGAAUAAUGAAAUAGGACGGAUUGAUUCUAUUUCGUUGGUUUCUAGGGUCACCGUAAUGAUUAAUAGGGAUAGUUGGGGGCAUUAGUAUUAAAUUGUCAGAGGUGAAAUUCUUGGAUUUAUUGAAGACUAACUACUGCGAAAGCAUUUGCCAAGGAUGUUUUCAUUAAUCAAGAACGAAAGUUAGGGGAUCGAAGACGAUCAGAUACCGUCGUAGUCUUAACCAUAAACUAUGCCGACUAGGGAUCGGACGAAGUUAAUUAAUAAUGACGCGUUCGGCACCUUACG
rnacentral:rRNA from 1 species